rnacentral:rRNA from 1 species
AGAGUUUGAUCCUGGCUCAGGAUGAACGCUAGCGGCAGGCUUAACACAUGCAAGUCGAGGGGCAGCGAGGGUAGCAAUACCUGUCGGCGACCGGCGCAAGGGUGCGUAACGCGUGAGCAACAUGCCCGUAUCAGGGGGAUAAUCCAGGGAAAAUUGGUCUAAUACCGCAUAAUAAUCAUUUGGGGCAUCUUGGAUGAUUUAAAAUUUCGAUGGAUACGGAUUGGCUCGCGUGACAUUAGCUGGAUGGAGAGGUAACGGCUCACCAUGGCUACGAUGUCUAGGGGUUCUGAGAGGAAGGUCCCCCACACUGGAACUGAGACACGGUCCAGACUCCUACGGGAGGCAGCAGUGAGGAAUAUUGGACAAUGGAUGGAAAUCUGAUCCAGCCAUGCCGCGUGCAGGAAGACGGCCCUAUGGGUUGUAAACUGCUUUUGUAUGGGAGCAAUAAGGGCUACGUGUAGCCUGAUGAGAGUACCAUACGAAUAAGGACCGGCUAACUCCGUGCCAGCAGCCGCGGUAAUACGGAGGGUCCGAGCGUUAUCCGGAUUUAUUGGGUUUAAAGGGUGCGUAGGCGGUUUUAUAAGUCAGCGGUGAAAUUUUCCGGCUCAACCGGGAUACUGCCGUUGAUACUGUAAGGCUAGGAUAUGGUUGCUGUGGGUGGAAUGUGUGGUGUAGCGGUGAAAUGCUUAGAGAUCACACAGAAUAUCGAUUGCGAAGGCAGCUCACAAAGCCAUUAUUGACGCUGAGGCACGAAAGUGUGGGGAUCAAACAGGAUUAGAUACCCUGGUAGUCG